rnacentral:rRNA from 1 species
AGCGAACGCUGGCGGCAGGCCUAACACAUGCAAGUCGAACGAACUCUUCGGAGUUAGUGGCGGACGGGUGUGUAACACGUGGGAACGUGCCUUUAGGUUCGGAAUAACUCAGGGAAACUUGUGCUAAUACCGAAUGUGCCCUUCGGGGGAAAGAUUUAUCGCCUUUAGAGCGGCCCGCGUCUGAUUAGCUCGUUGGUGAGGUAAAGGCUCACCAAGGCGACGGUCAGUAGCUGGUCUGAGAGGAUGAUCAGCCACAUUGGGACUGAGACACGGCCCAAACUCCUACGGGAGGCAGCAGUGGGGAAUCUUGCGCAAUGGGCGAAAGCCUGACGCAGCCAUGCCGCGUGAAUGAUGAAGGUCUUAGGAUUGUAAAAUUCUUUCACCGGGGACGAUAAUGACGGUACCCGGAGAAGAAGCCCCGGCUAACUUCGUG